CACGUAGGAGGCGAGCGUUGUCCGGAAUCAUUGGGCGUAAAGAGCGCGCAGGCGGCUUGGCAAGUCGGGUGUGAAAUCCCGGGGCUCAACCCCGGGACUGCAUUCGAUACUGUCAGGCUAGAGGUAGGUAGGGGAGAUCGGAAUUCCAGGUGUAGCGGUGAAAUGCGUAGAUAUCUGGAGGAACACCGGUGGCGAAGGCGGCAUCCUGGACCGGCAUUGACGCUGAGGCGCGAAAGCUAGGGGAGCAAACGGG
rnacentral:rRNA from 1 species